UACGUAGGGUGCGAGCGUUGUCCGGAAUUAUUGGGCGUAAAGGGCUCGUAGGCGGUUUGUCGCGUCGGGAGUGAAAACCAUGGGCUUAACUCAUGGCUUGCUUCCGAUACGGGCAGACUAGAGGUAUGCAGGGGAGAACGGAAUUCCUGGUGUAGCGGUGAAAUGCGCAGAUAUCAGGAGGAACACUGGUGGCGAAGGCGGUUCUCUGGGAAUGUCCUGACGCUGAGGAGCGAAAGUGUGGGGAGCGAACAGG
rnacentral:rRNA from 1 species